GUGACGAUAGCCUAGGAGAUACACCUGUACCCAUACCGAACACAGAAGUUAAGCCCUAGAACGCCGGAAGUAGUUGGGGGUUGCCCCCUGUGAGAUAGGGAAGUCGCUUAGCU
rnacentral:rRNA from 1 species